rnacentral:rRNA from 1 species
CCUACGGGAGGCAGCAGUCGAGAAUCAUUCACAAUGGGGGAAACCCUGAUGGUGCGACGCCGCGUGGGGGAAUGAAGGUCUUCGGAUUGUAAACCCCUGUCAUGUGGGAGCAAAUUAAAAAGAUAGUACCACAAGAGGAAGAGACGGCUAACUCUGUGCCAGCAGCCGCGGGAAUACAGCGGUUUCAAGCGUUGUUCGGAAUCACUGGGCGUAAAGCGUGCGUAGGCUGUUUCGUAAGUCGUGUGUGAAAGGCGCGGGCUCAACCCGCGGACGGCACAUGAUACUGCGAGACUAGAGUAAUGGAGGGGGAACCGGAAUUCUCGGUGUAGCAGUGAAAUGCGUAGAUAUCGAGAGGAACACUCGUGGCGAAGGCGGGUUCCUGGACAUUAACUGACGCUGAGGCACGAAGGCCAGGGGAGCGAAAGGGAUUAGAUACCCGAGUAGUC